UAGGGAAUCUUCCGCAAUGGACGCAAGUCUGACGGAGCAACGCCGCGUGAGUGAAGAAGGAUUUCGGUUCGUAAAACUCUGUUGUUAGAGAAGAACAGCGCAUAGAGUAACUGUUAUGCGUGUGACGGUAUCUAACCAGAAAGCCACGGCUAACUACGUGCCAGCAGCCGCGGUAAUACGUAGGUGGCAAGCGUUGUCCGGAUUUAUUGGGCGUAAAGCGAGCGCAGGCGGUCAAUUAAGUCUGAUGUGAAAGCCCCCGGCUCAACCGGGGAGGGUCAUUGGAAACUGGUUGACUUGAGUGCGGAAGAGGAGAGUGGAAUUCCAUGUGUAGCGGUGAAAUGCGUAGAUAUAUGGGGGAACACCAGUGGCGAAGGCGACUCUCUGGUCUGUAACUGACGCUGAGGUUCGAAAGCGUGGGUAGCAAACAGG
rnacentral:rRNA from 1 species